rnacentral:rRNA from 1 species
AUUGAACGCUGGCGGCAUGCUUUACACAUGCAAGUCGAACGGCAGCACGGGGGCAACCCUGGUGGCGAGUGGCGAACGGGUGAGUAAUGCAUCGGAACGUAUCUUCAAGUGGGGGAUAACGCAUCGAAAGAUGCGCUAAUACCGCAUAAUCUCUGAGGAGAAAAGCAGGGGGAUCGCAAGACCUUGCGCUUCUGGAGCGGCCGAUGUCGAUUAGCUAGUUGGUGGGGUAAAGGCUUACCAAGGCUUCGAUCAGUAGCUGGUCUGAGAGGACGACCAGCCACACUGGGACUGAGACACGGCCCAGACUCCUACGGGAGGCAGCAGUGGGGAAUUUGGACAAUGGGGAAACCCUGAUCCAGCCAUGCCGCGUGAGUGAAGAAGGCCU